UACAGAGGGUGCGAGCGUUAAUCGGAAUUACUGGGCGUAAAGCGCACGUAGGUGGCGACGUAAGUCGGGUGUGAAAGCCCCGGGCUCAACCUGGGAAUUGCAUUCGAGACUGCAUUGCUGGAGUACGGAAGAGGAGGGCGGAAUUCCCGGUGUAGCGGUGAAAUGCGCAGAUAUCAGGAGGAACACCCGUGGCGAAAGCGGCUCUCUGGGACGGUACUGACGCUGAGACGCGAAAGCGUGGGGAGCAAACAGG
rnacentral:rRNA from 1 species